rnacentral:rRNA from 1 species
UCACCUCCCACCCGUGUUUAUUUUACCUUGUUGCUUCGGCGGGCCCGCCUUAACUGGCCGCCGGGGGGCUUACGCCCCCGGGCCCGCGCCCGCCGAAGACACCCUCGAACUCUGUCUGAAGAUUGUAGUCUGAGUGAAAAUAUAAAUUAUUUAAAACUUUCAACAACGGAUCUCUUGGUUCCGGCAUCGAUGAAGAACGCAGCGAAAUGCGAUACGUAAUGUGAAUUGCAAAUUCAGUGAAUCAUCGAGUCUUUGAACGCACAUUGCGCCCCCUGGUAUUCCGGGGGGCAUGCCUGUCCGAGCGUCAUUGCUGCCCUCAAGCACGGCUUGUGUGUUGGGCCCCGUCCUCCGAUCCCGGGGGACGGGCCCGAAAGGCAGCGGCGGCACCGCGUCCGGUCCUCGAGCGUAUGGGGCUUUGUCACCCGCUCUGUAGGCCCGGCCGGCGCUUGCCGAUCAACCCAAAUUUUUAUCCAGGUUGACCUCGGAUCAGGUAGGGAUACCCGCUGAACUUAAGCAUAUCAAUA